rnacentral:rRNA from 1 species
GAUCAUGGCUCAGAUUGAACGCUGGCGGCAGGCUUAACACAUGCAAGUCGAACGGUAGCAGGUAAGUACUUGUACUUAUGCUGACGAGUGGCGGACGGGUGAGUAAUGUUUGGGAAUCUAGCUUAUGGAGGGGGAUAACGACGGGAAACUGUCGCUAAUACCGCGUAGUAUCGGAAGAUGAAAGUGCGGGACCUUAGGGCCGCAUGCCAUAGGAUGAGCCCAAGUGGGAUUAGGUAGUUGGUAGGG